rnacentral:rRNA from 1 species
CCCUUAGAUGUUCUGGGCCGCACACGCGCUACACUGAAGGAGGCAGCGUGUACUCCUGGAUCGAAAGAUUUGGGUAACCCGCGAAUCUCCUUCGUGCUAGGGAUUGAGGUUUGCAAUUAUCCUUCAUGAACGAGGAAUUCCCAGUAAGUGCAAGUCAUAAGCUUGCGCUGACUACGUCCCUGCCCUUUGUACACACCGCCCGUCGCUACUACCAAUUGAAUGAUUUAGUGAGGACUUCGGACUGGGACCGAUGCGGCUUUCGGGCUGCGUCGGUAUUCUGGAAAGAUGUCCAAACUGUAUCAUUUAGAGGAAGUAAAAGUCGUANCA